UCAAUUGCUUCAUAGCUCAACAUCUGGACCACAUUUGGCUUCAUUGUUGGAAAAUAAAUUAGCAUCCCAGGUCACGAACAAGGGGCUGACCUUGCACUGGAAAGCAGCGACCAUGUCUUCAGUUGAUAGACCAGUCUUCCUUGACUAUGGAGAAAAAUCUGAAACGCAUCUCUUUUCUGGAAUUAGUGCCAUCUCUCAGAACAGCCUGAGUCUGCUCACAAUAAACUGGACAUUUGCCCUAGGAUGUGGAGCAAAAGAUGACACUAAUUGGAAGUUGGCACCCUGGAAAACAUGUCACAGCCAUCUCCUGCAGGAAGAUAACCCUUAUCAUGUGCCAGCACUGAACUGUGGGCUCCAUGGACCUGCUUGUGUCUGCUCACACCUGUUCCAACACAGGUGCCAAGAAAUGGGGGGUCAGGAGGAAUUAGACACACAGAGCCUUUGGGAAGCCACAGAAGUCACAGGGCCCUUUGGAAUUAUAAUAGAUUCGACAAGGAGGGGAUGGCCUAUGUAGAUGUAUUUGGCUGUGGUCAUGAGCAUUGAGAAUCCCAUGUCAAGCACCAAUCUGAACAAACUGAACACUGAAGGAAAAAGAAGAUUUAAGGAGCCAGAAAUAGACACCAUGAAAAAGACAGAGGAUUUACAUUACUGGUGUCCUUUGCUGUUCUUUCUGAUUCCUCUGCUGAUGGAGGAGUAGGCUGACAAAGCUUGCAACAGCAGUCAAUGGGGUCGACACGAUAGAAGAUUCUGAAGCUUUUGGGGGCAUCUAUAGUCACUAAGACUGGAGUCAGAUGUGCUGUUCUACAGGUGAGAGGCAGGAAAAAAAUGUGAGCAAAAAUUACUCUUGUCUCUAAGGAGCCUGUGGAGUUGGCCCCUGUUCUGGAGAAGAAGCUUGGAAGGCUCGGCACUGCUGAUGUGGAUUCAUUGAGGAAGUGUGCUCAUCAGAGUUAAGCCAUCCAUCAUUACUCACUCGCCGGGCUUGUGCUUCCCAGACGACCACAUAAUGUCCAGGUUGGACAUACAACUCUGCAUCAGCCCAGGGGAAACAAAUGGCACCCCUUUAGUAGAUUAAAUGGAUUGGGCCAUUCAAGGGAAUCUGUUUUAUGGAAUCACUUGGUUUACUGAAUAGCCUCAUGUUACAGGUAAAUGAAAUCCUACAGCAAAGGAGCCAAGCCUGCAUUUUAGUUAUUUUUCCAGAAGUAGAGCUAUUUGUUGCCAGAAAAAGUUCAGCUUCAUGAUAAUGGGGAACACUGGACCGUGAGACCAUUGGACUAGCAGUAUCCUUUGCAUUUCAAAUAAAAUCCUGUUUUCUCAUCAUGGCUGUAAA